rnacentral:rRNA from 1 species
CAGCCGCCGCGGUAAUACGUAGGGUGCAAGCGUUAAUCGGAAUUACUGGGCGUAAAGCGUGCGCAGGCGGUUAUAUAAGACAGAUGUGAAAUCCCCGGGCUCAACCUGGGAACUGCAUUUGUGACUGUAUAGCUAGAGUACGGCAGAGGGGGAUGGAAUUCCGCGUGUAGCAGUGAAAUGCGUAGAUAUGCGGAGGAACACCGAUGGCGAAGGCAAUCCCCUGGGCCUGUACUGACGCUCAUGCACGAAAGCGUGGGGAGCAAACAGGAUUAGAUACCCCCGUAUCCCUGUCUCUUAUACA